GGGUCGUAAAGCUCUGUCCUAUGGGAAGAUAAUGACGGUACCAUAGGAGGAAGCCCCGGCUAACUACGUGCCAGCAGCCGCGGUAAUACGUGGGGGGCAAGCGUUAUCCGGAAUUACUGGGCGUAAAGGGUGCGUAGGCGGUUUAUCAAGUCAGGGGUGAAAGGCUACGGCUCAACCGUAGUGAGCCUCUGAAACUGGUGAACUUGAGUGUAGGAGAGGAAAGUGGAAUUCCCAGUGUAGCGGUGAAAUGCGUAGAUAUUGGGAGGAACACCAGUGGCGAAGGCGACUUUCUGGACUACAACUGACGCUGAGGCACGAAAGCGUGGGGAGCAAACAGGAUUAGAUACCCUGGUAGUCCACGCUGUAAACGAUGAGUACUAGGUGUCGG
rnacentral:rRNA from 1 species